rnacentral:rRNA from 1 species
GAUGAACGCUGGCGGCGUGCCUAAUACAUGCAAGUCGAGCGAACGGACGAGAAGCUUGCUUCUCUGAUGUUAGCGGCGGACGGGUGAGUAACACGUGGAUAACCUACCUAUAAGACUGGGAUAACUUCGGGAAACCGGAGCUAAUACCGGAUGAUAUUUUGAACCGCAUGGUUCAAAAGUGAAAGACGGUCUUGCUGUCACUUAUAGAUGGAUCCGCGCUGCAUUAGCUAGUUGGUAAGGUAACGGCUUACCAAGGCAACGAUGCAUAGCCGACCUGAGAGGGUGAACGGCCACACUGGAACUGAGACACGGUCCAGACUCCUACGGGAGGCAGCAGUAGGGAAUCUUACGCAAUGGGCGAAAGCCUGACGGAGCAACGCCGCGUGAGUGAUGAAGGUCUUCGGAUCGUAAAACUCUGUUAUUAGGGAAGAACAUAUGUGUAAGUAACUGUGCACAUCUUGACGGUACCUAAUCAGAAAGCCACGGCUAACUACGUG